GUCUCUGACUCAGAGAACCACAGUUACAUCAGUGACUCUGUCUCUGACUCAGAGAACCACAGUUGCAUCAAAGACUCUGUCUCCGACUCAGAGAACCCACAGUUACAUCAGUGACUCUGUCUCCAACUCAGAGAACCACAGUUACAUCAGUGACUCUGACUCAGAGAACCACAGUUACAUCAGUGACUCUGUCUCCAACUCAGAGAACCACAGUUACAUCAGUGACUCUGUCUCCAAUCAGAGAACACAGUUACAUCAGUGACUCUGUCUCAACUCAGAGAACCACAGUUACAUCAGUGACUCUGUCUCCGACUCAGAGAACCACAGUUACAUCAGUGACUCUGUCUCCAACUCAGAGAACCACAGUUACA